GGGGGCGACUUGGCUUCGACGUGGAUUACAAACCCUGGGGAGCAUGCAGUGAGUGCAGUGAUCACUUAAAUCAAAGCUGAAACGUAUAGUUGCAAACGAUAACAACUACUCUUUAGCGGCUUAAUAAGCCUGCUAAAUUCCCACUAGCGUUCGCCCGCAGGUGCUUACUGGGAAUCAUUUAUGCGGUAUCGCGUGGAGGACUGUCUGGGGCCGAAGCGUUAAAACCUAACCGGAAUCGCGAAUGCUUUCUCUGCCCGUCGAGAUUGUAUUUGCUAAAUUAAGGACGGAUCUAAGCAUGUAGCGCCUUCAGGCAGCGUGUUUGCGGACGCGGGUUCGAUUCCCGCCGUCUCCACCA
rnacentral:tmRNA from 1 species